UACAGAAGCAGGCAAAGACACAGAAAGAUCACCAGAAACUUCUGCUGUUUACAAAAACUACUGAAAGAGAAUCCAUCUAUCCAGAACGGUCAGAAUGAGGUGCUUUUGUGUGGUCAUCUGGAUUCUUCUCUCGGAAGUGGCUGCUGAGGCGCCAGAUAUCAGAGUGGCAGGACAUGUUGGAGGAUCAGUGAAGAUCCAGUGUCCUCACCUGUUAGCUAAAACCAACACAAAGUAUUUCUGCAGGUAUCCGUGUAUAAAAAAUCAGGACAUGUUGAUUAAAUCUGGUCAGUCACUUACUGGAAGAUACACACUGGAGGAUUCAGGCAAUGGAGACAUCACUGUGACCAUCAUUGACCUCCAGAAAUCAGACGCUGGAACUUACUGGUGUGGAGUGGAGAGAUUACUAAUGAUGGACACGUAUCAUGAGGUGCUCCUCACAGUCACAGAUGCUCCCUCCACCCACAAACACCCACCCAAAGCUACUCCAACAGCAGCUGCUGUAAGAACAGUGAGAUUUAAGUUCUUCACCACCUCUUCAUCCACUCUCCCUCCCUCCAUCACCCACCAUCCACCAUCUCCUCCUCCUCUGCACCUAAACCAACAUUUCCAGCUCAGCACUCACUCAACAUCUCAUCACCUACCAGAGAGAUUCUACUGUAUGUUGCUGCUGGACUUGUCACUGUGAUUGUAUUCAGCAUCGCUGCUGUAAUCUACACUGGUAGAGGACCAAAAAGACGAUCUAAACUUCAAAGUGAUCUCAUCUCAGCGAUGUCCUCCACUGCUGGUCUAGAAGAAGAAGAUCUACACUCACAUGUCUGCUUUACUGUCAUCAACUGCUCUGCUGGCUUCACGUCAGAGACUCUCAACAACCAAGCUUUGGACAACCUGCUGUACUCCACAGAGAAAGGACUACUCGCACAUGUGAUCUACAGCUUAGACAGAUAAUCAUUCAUCUUUCACCACAGUGAAGAACUGCAAUGUAAGAGGACUGAUUGCAUUUUUUACAUUGAUUACAAAAUUCUUUUACUGAUGUAUAAAGCUCUAAACAGCCUCACCCCUCAGCACCUGAGUGAACUUCUCUGUUAUUAUGAACCAUCAUACCUACGUAGAUCACAAGGUGCUGGAUUACUAUUAGCACCUAGAAUUAAUAAAGUUACAUGGGGGGGUUGGGGGUGCUAUAUAAACUGGGAGAACUGGUGGUGUCGUCCCACUGCUCUCACACAUUCCCUCAAGUUUGCUGACGGUGGAGUAGAGGGGUGCUGCCAUCUCAGGGAGCACUCAUAACUUGUAUCUUCUGGUUUCUGCCUUUUAGUCAGGCUGCAAUAACUUAACCUGCCCCAGUGUCUGCUGCUCUCUGUUAAUCCUGUAAACUGUAAUUAGUCACUAUCAGCAGAACAAACUUCUAGCUUCACGCUGUCCAAAGCUGUGCAGACCUCACCUGCAUGAACUGACCUUUCUGAAACUAUUUAAUCAAAACCAUUGCUUCACCUGUUUUUCCCCGUUUCUGUAUUUUAAUAUUUUAUACUAAUGUUGUUUGU